rnacentral:rRNA from 1 species
CCUACGGGCGGCAGCAGUGGGGAAUAUUGCGCAAUGGGCGAAAGCCUGACGCAGCGACGCCGCGUGAGGGAUGAAGGUCUUCGGAUCGUAAACCUCUGUCAGCAGGGAAGAACGGUCACUGUGCUAAUCAGCAGUGAAUUGACGGUACCUGCAAAGGAAGCACCGGCUAACUCCGUGCCAGCAGCCGCGGUAAUACGGAGGGUGCGAGCGUUAAUCGGAAUUACUGGGCGUAAAGCGCUCGUAGGCGGUAUGUCAAGUCAAGGGUGAAAUCCCGGCGCUCAACGUGGGAACUGCCUUUGAAACGGGCGACUAGAGUGUGUGAGAGGAUGGUGGAAGUCAAGGUGUAGGAGUGAAAUCCGUAGAUAUCUGGAGGAACAUCAGUGGCGAAGGCGACUAACUGGCACAUAACUGACGCUGAGGAGCGAAAGCGUGGGUAGCAAACAGGAUUAGAUACCCGAGUAGUC